rnacentral:lncRNA from 1 species
GGACAUGCGUGGAUUUUCUCAUAACUCAUCCCUAAAGCAGACAAUGUCUCUUUUGACUCAUACAUAGAGGAAGGUAGUGUAUUUCCUUCUGGAAGCACAUCAAUCAUCCCAUGCUUUUCUUUUAAAUUAUUAAACUUCACCAAAGCCGACAACAUCGUGUACUUACUGCUAUCAGGGUACAAGGGUUCAUCUCCAUCCCCAAUCACAUUGGCAAACUCAUAAGGAUCAAAUCCAGUAUCGCCUAAAUCAUUAUCAUCCUUCCCUACUUCUUCAGAAACAAAACUGAACCUACUUUGCUCAUCUUCUUCCAGAUUUCUACUAGUAUUAGUUGUCC